CCUACGGGCGGCAGCAGUGGGGGAUAUUGCACAAUGGGGGGAACCCUGAUGCAGCGACGCCGCGUGGGUGAAGGAGUGCUUCGGCAUGUAAAGCCCUAUCGGCAGGGAAGAAGCAAGACGGUACCUGACUAAGAAGCCCCGGCUAACUACGUGCCAGCAGCCGCGGUAAUACGUAGGGGGCGAGCGUUAUCCGGAUUCACUGGGUGUAAAGGGAGCGUAGACGGCCAUGCAAGCCAGGGGUGAAAGCCCGGGGCCCAACCCCGGGACUGCCCUUGGAACUGCAUGGCUGGAGUGCGGGAGGGGCAGGCAGAAUUCCUGGUGUAGCGGUGAAAUGCGUAGAUAUCAGGAGGAACACCGGCGGCGAAGGCGGCCUGCUGGACCGCGACUGACGUUGAGGCUCGAAAGCGUGGGGAGUGAACAGGAUUAGAUACCCUUGUAGUC
rnacentral:rRNA from 1 species